rnacentral:rRNA from 1 species
UAGGGAAUCUUCGGCAAUGGACGAAAGUCUGACCGAGCAACGCCGCGUGAGUGAAGAAGGUUUUCGGAUCGUAAAGCUCUGUUGUAAGAGAAGAACGGGUGUGAGAGUGGAAAGUUCACACUGUGACGGUAUCUUACCAGAAAGGGACGGCUAACUACGUGCCAGCAGCCGCGGUAAUACGUAGGUCCCGAGCGUUGUCCGGAUUUAUUGGGCGUAAAGCGAGCGCAGGCGGUUAGAUAAGUCUGAAGUUAAAGGCUGUGGCUUAACCAUAGUACGCUUUGGAAACUGUUUAACUUGAGUGCAGAAGGGGAGAGUGGAAUUCCAUGUGUAGCGGUGAAAUGCGUAGAUAUAUGGAGGAACACCGGUGGCGAAAGCGGCUCUCUGGUCUGUAACUGACGCUGAGGCUCGAAAGCGUGGGGAGCGAACAGGAUUAGAUACCCUGGUAGUCCACGCCGUAAACGAUGAGUGCUAGGUGUUAGGCCCUUUCCGGGGCUUAGUGNCGCAGCUAACGCAUUAAGCACUCCGCCUGGGGAGUACGACCGCAAGGNU